rnacentral:rRNA from 1 species
GCUCAACCGGGGAGGGUCAUUGGAAACUGGGAAACUUGAGUGCAGAAGAGGAGAGUGGAAUUCCACGUGUAGCGGUGAAAUGCGUAGAGAUGUGGAGGAACACCAGUGGCGAAGGCGACUCUCUGGUCUGUAACUGACGCUGAGGAGCGAAAGCGUGGGGAGCGAACAGGAUUAGAUACCCUGGUAGUCCACGCCGUAAACGAUGAGUGCUAAGUGUUAGGGGGUUUCCGCCCCUUAGUGCUGCAGCUAACGCAUUAAGCACUCCGCCUGGGGAGUACGGUCGCAAGACUGAAACUCAAAGGAAUUGACGGGGGCCCGCUCAAGCGGUGGAGCAUGUGGUUUAAUUCGAAGCAACGCGAAGAACCUUACCAGGUCUUGACAUCCUCUGACAACCCUAGAGAUAGGGCUUUCCCUUCGGGGACAGAGUGACAGGUGGUGCAUGGUUGUCGUCAGCUCGUGUCGUGAGAUGUUGGGUUAAGUCCCGCAACGAGCGCAACCCUUGAUCUUAGUUGCCAGCAUUCAGUUGGGCACUCUAAGGUGACUGCCGGUGACAAACCGGAGGAAGGUGGGGAUGACGUCAAAUCAUCAUGCCCCUUAUGACCUGGGCUACACACGUGCUACAAUGGACAGAACAAAG